UAAGGAGACCCCAGGAGGAUUGAUAUAACGGCGGCUCAGCAGCGGCGGACGGGUGAGUAAUGCCUAGGAAAUUGCCCUGAUGUGGGGGAUAACCAUUGGAAACGAUGGCUAAUACCGCAUGAUGCCUACGGGCCAAAGAGGGGGACCUUCGGGCCUCUCGCGUCAGGAUAUGCCUAGGUGGGAUUAGCUAGUUGGUGAGGUAAGGGCUCACCAAGGCGACGAUCCCUAGCUGGUCUGAGAGGAUGAUCAGCCACACUGGAACUGAGACACGGUCCAGACUCCUACGGGAGGCAGCAGUGGGGAAUAUUGCACAAUGGGCGCAAGCCUGAUGCAGCCAUGCCGCGUGUAUGAAGAAGGCCUUCGGGUUGUAAAGUACUUUCAGUCGUGAGGAAGGCGGUGUCGUUAAUAGCGGCAUCGUUUGACGUUAGCGACAGAAGAAGCACCGGCUAACUCCGUGCCAGCAGCCGCGGUAAUACGGAGGGUGCGAGCGUUAAUCGGAAUUACUGGGCGUAAAGCGCAUGCAGGUGGUUUGUUAAGUCAGAUGUGAAAGCCCGGGGCUCAACCUCGGAAUAGCAUUUGAAACUGGCAGACUAGAGUACUGUAGAGGGGGGUAGAAUUUCAGGUGUAGCGGUGAAAUGCGUAGAGAUCUGAAGGAAUACCGGUGGCGAAGGCGGCCCCCUGGACAGAUACUGACACUCAGAUGCGAAAGCGUGGGGAGCAAACAGGAUUAGAUACCCUGGUAGUCCACGCCGUAAACGAUGUCUACUUGGAGGUUGUGGCCUUGAGCCGUGGCUUUCGGAGCUAACGCGUUAAGUAGACCGCCUGGGGAGUACGGUCGCAGAUUAAAACUCAAAUGAAUUGACGGGGGCCCGCACAAGCGGUGGAGCAUGUGGUUUAAUUCGAUGCAACGCGAAGAACCUUACCUACUCUUGACAUCCAGAGAACUUUCCAGAGAUGGAUUGGUGCCUUCGGGAACUCUGAGACAGGUGCUGCAUGGCUGUCGUCAGCUCGUGUUGUGAAAUGUUGGGUUAAGUCCCGCAACGAGCGCAACCCUUAUCCUUGUUUGCCAGCGAGUAAUGUCGGGAACUCCAGGGAGACUGCCGGUGAUAAACCGGAAGAAAGGUGGGGACGACGUCAAGUCAUCAUGGCCCUUACCAAUAAGGCUACCCACUUCUUACAUUGGCCCAACCAAAGGCCGCCAACUUUCGAAAUUAGCCAAUCCCAAAAAUUC
rnacentral:rRNA from 1 species